rnacentral:rRNA from 1 species
GUCCCUACGGGGGGCAGCAGUGGGGAAUAUUGCACAAUGGGGGAAACCCUGAUGCAGCAACGCCGCGUGAGUGAAGAAGUAUUUCGGUAUGUAAAGCUCUAUCAGCAGGGAAGAAGAAAGACGGUACCUGACUAAGAAGCCCCGGCUAACUACGUGCCAGCAGCCGCGGUAAUACGUAGGGGGCAAGCGUUAUCCGGAAUCACUGGGUGUAAAGGGAGCGUAGACGGCUGUGCAAGCCUGAAGUGAAAGGCGGGGGCCCAACCCCUGGACUGCUUUGGGAACUGUACGGCUGGAGUGCAGGAGCG